AUUAACAAAAUAUAAAUUAUAUUUAAUCUGUUGAUAUUAAUGAAUUAGAACCCACAAUAUCAACAACUGAAUCAGCACGUAGUUUAGAGAAUAUUGGAGACGAUUCAAACAACGAGGGAAACAAUAGUUUGGUAUACGUACUUGUCGGUGUCCUAUGCGGCACAUUGUUUCUCUUUGUUUCUAUUGUUUUCGUUAUCAUCUACAAGAUGAAAAGAUGUCGGCAUGUGGUGAUGUACGGCCGCAAUGAGAACGGAUGUGGGCAGACAGAUAAAGGGGUCAACAACAAUCAGCGAAGAACACCGCCUCCAAUACCACCAAAACCUGCAGUAUAUGACAACAUAGAGAACUACAUUCAGCCACCAACACACUUGCCGUUUGGCCCAAGAAGGUUGCAGGUUCAAGUUAUCGAGUUAUGGCAUAAUUUUCUUGGGCAAGAAACUUACACACAAUUGCCUCUCUCUACUCAGGAGUAUAAAUCAGUUCCUAGUCUUUGACUGGGGUGGCAAAGGCCUCCAACUGCAACGACGGAUCGGACGAGAAAAACUGCUUUACAAACGAAUGCUUGAACAGCAAUCCAUGUCCGGGAGAUCAAAUGUGUAUUGACGAGCCGACUUCGUAUCGAUGCACGUGUGCACGAGGAUAUCGCAAGACGAACGACGGAUGUGAAGGAGAGUGGGUGUGUCGUUUGCUGUGUUGAUGGCACGUGAUUACAUCGUAAAGUUUGUCUUCUAUAGAGGUGGACGAGUGUCAGACGUAUGGACAUUGUGCACAGUUUUGUGUGAAUACGCCGGGUAGCUUUGUCUGCAUCUGCAGUAAUGGAUACACACUGAAGGCUGACGGUCACACGUGCAAAGCAAACAAUGGAAAUGCCAAGUUGUUGUACGCUGAUGGUCAGGAUGUCAAGCUAAUGGAUCUCAACACAAAGUCGAUUGAAGGCCUAGCCAAACACAGACUGUCAAUCGUUCCGGUCGCCUUCCAUUUCCGUACAGGCAUGAUCUACUUUGGUGUAUACCAAAGGAAUCAUAUAUGUGCAGUUCCCGCCGACAACAGCGCAGAGCCAAAACCGAUUCUUACAGCAGUGGAUGGCACUCGUAGCCCUGAUGGUCUUGCUGUCAACUACUUGAACGACUGGAUGUAUUGGUCUAGUCCUGCUUAUUGUAUGAUCUUUAUGGCUAAAUUGGAUGGUUUGUAUUGUCGAGUUGUUGUGAAUGAGAGUAUGAAGUUGGACGAGCCACGUGGUCUUGCUGUUGAUCCAUUGAGAGGGUAUCUGUUCUGGGCUGAUUGGGGGCUCACUCGCAUAUUGGUGCUGCUGCAAUGGACGGAACAGGACAGAGACACAUUGUAGUGGAUGGAUUGGUGUGGCCAAAUGGAAAAGCAGGCGAUACGAUAACAUAGAGGAUCUACUGGGUGGACGGCAAUCAUGGAGUGGUUGAGGUUUGUGAUUAUUUGGGUCACAAGCGAAGAGUUAUUAUACAGGGUGGUGUUGGACGGCCUCUCUUUAUUGCGUUGUAUGAGGAAAAGGUGUACGUGUCAUCUGAUUGGGGACCGAGGAAGGAGGCAAGAGUUUUUGUUGCCAAUCGAUUUGAUGGAUUACAUUUGAUGAUGAUUGAUCAUGAUGUGGACUCUG